rnacentral:rRNA from 1 species
UACGUAGGGUGCGAGCGUUGUCCGGAAUUACUGGGCGUAAAGAGCUUGUAGGUGGUUUGUCGCGUUGUUCGUGAAAUCUCACGGCUCAACUGUGAGCGUGCGGGCGAUACGGGCAGACUAGAGUACUGCAGGGGAGACUGGAAUUCCUGGUGUAGCGGUGAAAUGCGCAGAUAUCAGGAGGAACACCGGUGGCGAAGGCGGGUCUCUGGGCCGAGACUGACGCUGAGGCGCGAAAGCGUGGGGAGCAAACAGG